rnacentral:rRNA from 1 species
GAAACCGUUUGCAGGGAAACAGAUGGACCCACGAAGUCCAGUUGAAUGUGAAAUUCAAAUUUCAAGACAAUUUAAGUCUAAGUGCACACCUUCGUUUGAAGAUGUUCUUAGAUUUUGAACUGUCAAGAGAUGCAUUUUUCAUAUUCACGAUGGAGCUCUGACUUCUCAACAAAACCGAACUGCUUAGGGCAGCUCGUUUAUGUAGUAAGAUUCGUGUAAUCUUCGAUACAUAUUUGAGUGUGCAGUGAGGUUAAACUGAGAGGUUGAAUUUCUCGCAUUUGUGAGUGAUUCAGUUUAUCGGAGAAUAUAUUUGAUAGGAAAAAUGCAGUUAAUAUUUUUGGACUAUUAUGGUUGAAAAAGUUAAUUGUGUACUUUCCAAAAUAUCAAGUAUAUUUGCCAAUGAUAAUCCAGAGUAAGUAGGUCGGUCAUCCAUCUGACC